UCCCUGGUGGUCCAGUGGUUUAGGAUACCAUUUUCUCAUUGCUGUGGCCCAGGUUCAAUUCCUUGGCAGGGAA